rnacentral:lncRNA from 7 species
GCCAUUUUCCGCCGAGCGGAAGCGGUGCGGUGUCGUCCGGUCCCCUUCCUCCCGUUCCUCAGCUUGACUCUUCACCAUGGAAGCCGAGCCCGUGGGCCAGAAGCCCCCUCGGCGGAGAAGGGGUAGGGUCAGUGCUGGGACCAGCGCCAGCCGCUCGCCCCCGGCGGACAGCACCCCCGGUGGGGCCGCGUCCUGCAGCCGGUGCCCGCUGAGACGAGGCAGCUCUUUCACAUUUCUCACUCCAGGACCACAAUGGGACUUCACCCAGAUCAUAGAAUCAUUAAGGUUGGAAAAGACUUCUAAGAUCAUCAAGACCAACUGUCAACACAUCACCACCAUGCCCACUAACCAUAUCCCCCAGUGCCACAACUCCACAUUUCUUGAACACCUCCAGAGACAGUGACUCCACCACCUCCCUGGGCACUGUGUUCCAAUGCCUUGCCACUCCUUCUGAGAGGAAAUUUGUCCUAAUACCCAACCUGAAAAAAAAGGAAAAAACAAAUUCUGCUAACCAAACUAGCAAUGCAAGAUGUAAAACGUGGUGUAAAAGCUAAGAUUUUUUUUAGAAUACAAAAAUCUGUAUUUUAUUUGGUAUAGAGACUACUUAAAACAAAUAUGUGGUCUUACUGCUGUAAGACUUGUACUCUGCUUUCCACCCUCUAACAGGUAUCCCUUAUUAGGGAGGUGGUUCAUAUCUAUCUUCAGCCUUUAGAGCUGAUACAGAAAGACAGACCACCCUGGAGGAUGAUGCAGAGGACUUUCACUGGGUAUCUCUUAUGCUUCUUCAUUAAGUCUGUCCCUUUCGUGCACCAAUGAUUGCAAUGUGAUUAGUCAGCUGAAGUAGGUGCUGUGUAUAGAAAUGUUAUCCUCUCUUAAAGCUCAUUUCCAUGAGCCACCUAAGCUGACCUGACCCUGCUGUCCCUGGAAGCAGUGAUCCCAUCAUUGGCCAGCAAAAAGGACCUGGCUGAAAAAUUUUGCCUUACCAAAAAGAAAACAAAAUGUUUUGGAUGAGCUGAUCCAGAUGACUGCACAAGCUGUAUUAUUCUCGUGCCAGCGUCGGCACGAGGAAGAGGGUGUGACAACAAGUCUGGGGGUGGGGAAAAGGACAGGACUACCUUUUAUGAAGGAAAUCCUAUCUAAAAUCAGCUGGAGCUUCUUGUGCAAGCAUCUAUGUAGACAGGCACUUUGCUGCCUGCGCCUUGAAGGGCAGCCAUGUGCAAUUUUGAGACUGCAGAAACACCAGUCUGGCGUGGGAAUGGAAAAAACAAAACCUGAUGGUUUUUGCUUAAUUUUAGAAACUUUCAUCUGGCGACUACAGCUACAUUAAACAUAUUCAUUUGAAUAUUACCAAGCCCUAGAAAUUGCAUUCUUUCAGAAUGAAAAAUAUCAUACUGUAUCAUCAGAAAUUAAAAGUAUUUUGACU